GGGUGCGUAGCUCAAUUGGAUAGAGCGUCUGAUUACGGCUCAGGAGGUUGAGGGUUCGACUCCUUCCGCGCUCA
rnacentral:tRNA from 1 species